AUGGCGGAGGACGCAACGGCAGGGGCGAAUCCUCUCCUCAGUGGCCUCCCGGAUGAGAUCGUCACCUGGGAGAUCCUCGUCCGCCUCGACCCCAAAUCCGUACUCCGAUGCCGCGCCGUCCGCCGCGACUGGCGCCGCGUCACCUCCACCCGCCGCUUUCUCCUGGCCAACCACAGCCGCCAGCCCACCCUCCCCAUUUUCGACACCGGCAAAUUCAUUGGCCGCGUCCACUACCGUAUCAUCCUCACCUUCGACCACCGGGCCGCCAACAACACCUGGCGUAACAAGGGCUUAAAUCUGACGGCUCGGCUUGACAAGGGUUUCCAUCCGGUGGCCUCAUGCGACGGCCUCCUCGUCCUCUCCAAGUACAACAGGACUGCCUCUGGAACCUGCCUCUCUAUCUGCAACCCUGCCACGCGCGAGCAUGCCUUUCUUGGGCCACCGUGGGACUUCAAACUUUUGGGGAUGUACUCACACCGACCUACCGGCGAGUACCGGCUGUUGCUGAAGCGGUGGAGCUUCACGGGCUGCUUGGACUCGCCUAAAGACCGAAUUGGCUUCUAUGUUUUCACGUUGGGCUCAAACCAGACACCCAGGUACAUUGGAUGGCCGGAGACAGCGUCAUGGUGCAUCCAUGUACCUGUCAUGGUGCGUGAUUGCCUGCAUUGGUAUCCAACGUUUUAUCUGGGUGGAAGGGGAUAUCUCAGUGAAAGCAAACCAGUAAUAGUAUUCGACACCAUAGCUGAGUCACUCCGGCAGAUGCGUGCUCCAAUUGUUCCCACCGACUCAUAUAUCUUUGAGAUGGAUGGCACCCUCGGCAUCCACAACCAUAACAGGGACACACAAGUUAUGGAUAUAUGGGUGUUGCAGAACUAUGAAAGGGAGAUUUGGGAUUUCAAGUACCAUAUCAAGUUGCCGUUUACAGAAAUGAGCACAUUUGGAGGCAGUGAUGAACAUUGGGAUGUGGAUGUUGUUUCAAGGGAUGGCGAUCUGCUCUUUCUGGUCAGUUUUGGUCGGUGUUUGCUUCACGUGGCAAAUUGA
rnacentral:rRNA from 1 species